UGCCAGCAGCCGCGGUAAUACAGAGGGUGCAAGCGUUAAUCGGAUUUACUGGGCGUAAAGCGCGCGUAGGUGGCCAAUUAAGUCAAAUGUGAAAUCCCCGAGCUUAACUUGGGAAUUGCAUUCGAUACUGGUUGGCUAGAGUAUGGGAGAGGAUGGUAGAAUUCCAGGUGUAGCGGUGAAAUGCGUAGAGAUCUGGAGGAAUACCGAUGGCGAAGGCAGCCAUCUGGCCUAAUACUGACACUGAGGUGCGAAAGCAUGGGGAGCAAACAGGAUUAGAUACCCUGGUAGUCCAUGCCGUAAACGAUGUCUACUAGCCGUUGGGGCCUUUGAGGCUUUAGUGGCGCAGCUAACGCGAUAAGUAGACCGCCUGGGGAGUACGGUCGCAAGACUAAAACUCAAAUGAAUUGACGGGGGCCCGCACAAGCGGUGGAGCAUGUGGUUUAAUUCGAUGCAACGCGAAGAACCUUACCUGGUCUUGACAUAGUAAGAACUUUCCAGAGAUGGAUUGGUGCCUUCGGGAACUUACAUACAGGUGCUGCAUGGCUGUCGUCAGCUCGUGUCGUGGGAUGUUGGGUUAAGUCCCGCAACGAGCGCAACCCUUU
rnacentral:rRNA from 1 species